ensembl:lncRNA novel transcript
AGAUGUCAAACAGGCCAGAGGCCCAGUGGGCUGGUGUAGGCAGCUAGCUCAGCAGAGCUCUGGAGCCGAUUCCGUGGUGUCUUAUACCAAGUGUUCCAUGAUACCAUUUGUGAGAAAGGCCGAAUAGUGUAUGAUGCCCGGGACAUGAGACGGCGGCUUCGGGAACUGACCCGGGAGGUGGAGGCCCUGUCCGGCUGCUACCCCCUAGCCUCUGGAUCCAGCACUGCCGAGGAGACAAGCAAGAAUUGGGUGUACCGUUCCCUAACUGGGAGAGCCUCAGCUCAAAGGCAUCGUCACCAAACUGUUCUGCCGCCAGGGUUUCUACCUCCAGGCGAAUCCCGACGGAAGCAUCCAGGGCACCCCAGAGGAUACCAGCUCCUUCACCCACUUCAACCUGAUCCCUGUGGGCCUCCGUGUGGUCACCAUCCAGAGCGCCAAGCUGGGUCACUACAUGGCCAUGAAUGCUGAGGGACUGCUCUACAGUUCGCCGCAUUUCACAGCUGAGUGUCGCUUUAAGGAGUGUGUCUUUGAGAAUUACUACGUCCUGUACGCCUCUGCUCUCUACCGCCAGCGUCGUUCUGGCCGGGCCUGGUACCUCGGCCUGGACAAGGAGGGCCAGGUCAUGAAGGGAAACCGAGUUAAGAAGACCAAGGCAGCUGCCCACUUUCUGCCCAAGCUCCUGGAGGGUGGGUAUAGACUCAAGAAAAUGUGGGCCACAGGAGAGGGUAUUGACCUUGAUAUGGACAUUUAGGGGCAGACAGCUCAGGCUACAAGUGAUAAGAGGACCCUUUGUGACAGAUCAAGCCAGGAAGGCUUUGCCCUUUGGGGGUUUGGGUGCGGUCCUCCUGUGGGGUUGGGGUUCUUGGAGGGUGAAUGUACGGGAAGGGAGCCCUUUUGGAGCACUGGUUCUGCCUGGGUCCCUCUGUGCCUAACUCUCCUUCCCUGCUCCUCUCUUUCUCCCCUUCACAGUGGCCAUGUACCAGGAGCCUUCUCUCCACAGUGUCCCCGAGGCCUCCCCUUCCAGUCCCCCUGCCCCCUGAAAUGUAGUCCCUGGACUGGAGGUUCCCUGCACUCCCAGUGAGCCAGCCACCACCACAACCUGUCUCCCAGUCCUGCUCUCACCCCUGCUGCCACACACAUGCCCUGAGCAGCCAGGUCCCACUAGGUGCUCUACCCUGAGGGAGCCUAGGGGCUGACUGUGACUUCCGAGGCUGCUGAGACCCUUAGAUCUUUGGGCCUAGGAGGGAGUCAGAGAGGGGGAUGUCUGAAGAUGGUCCUGGCUGAUCACUUCUUUCUUUCCACACUCACACAACGCCAUGCCUUUUCCUGAGAUGGCGCUGGGAGUUCCCACAUGGACAGCCAGGGCAUAAACACUUCCCACCCCGGCUCAGCCAGUUCCUGGAGUCCUGUGCCCCUUUUCAUUGCCACUGAGCCAUUUCUAGAUUCACUGGAGCUCAGGAUUCAUGUGUCCUUCUUUCCCUACUCUACCUUCUACCUUGGUCUGGACACAUUCUGGAACACUGGACACCCUCGCCAGGGCCACUUCUGCACUAGGGCUCUGUGCUGGAACCCAGGCAUGCUGCCAGCCUUUUCUCUGGAUCUGUCAGGCCUCUGUCAUUGACUCAGAUGGACCCCUGGUUUCCAAGUAGAAAGAGGCUAGAUUUGGGCCUUGUCUAGCUGUUGGCUUUGGCCUGAACCGGAACCAGUCUCAGAUGACCACGGGUUUAACCUUCUUAUCCCAGAGACACCCAAUUCUAGAGCUUUAUGGAGCCGUACUUCCCCCUGAAUCCUAGCUCUAGGACAUAGAUCAUGACUCUCAGCCCUUUUACCCAGGAUGGAGCUGGGGCCUGUAUAGCCAUAUUAUUGUUCUAAGUAAGUUCUAGCCCCACCCUCCCGCCUUCUUGAGUGAUACCUAUUACGGAUGAGUUCUGGAAAAGACCCAGCUAUGAUUCAUAAAAACACUUCUGGAUGAAUC